rnacentral:pre_miRNA from 1 species
GGUAAGCGCGCCUCGGGUGAGUGUGUGCCAAACCCUGGCGUAUGUCACUCUGCCCGGCCCACUACC